CCUACGGGUGGCAGCAGUGAGGAAUAUUGGUCAAUGGGCGCAAGCCUGAACCAGCCAUGCCGCGUGAAGGAUGACUGCCCUAUGGGUUGUAAACUUCUUUUAUACGGGAGUAAAGUGAGGUACGUGUGUCUUUUUGUAUGUACUUUAUGAAUAAGGAUCGGCUAACUCCGUGCCAGCAGCCGCGGUAAUACGGAGGAUCCGAGCGUUAUCCGGAUUUAUUGGGUUUAAAGGGUGCGUAGGUGGGAGGUUAAGUCAGAUGUGAAAGUCUGCGGCUCAACCGUAAAAUUGCCAUUGAUACUGGCCGCCUGGAGGACAGUUGAGGUAGGCGGAAUGCAUGGUGUAGCGGUGAAAUGCUUAGAGAUCAUGAAGAACUCCGAUUGCGAAGGCAGCUUACUAAACUGCUACUGACGUUGAGGCACGAAAGCGUGGGUAGCAAACAGGAUUAGAUACCCCAGUAGUC
rnacentral:rRNA from 1 species